rnacentral:rRNA from 1 species
GACGAACGCUGGCGGCGUGCUUAACACAUGCCAGUCGAACGGAAAGGCCCUGCUUUUGUGGGGUGCUCGAGUGGCGAACGGGUGAGUAACACGUGAGUAACCUGCCCUUGACUUUGGGAUAACUUCAGGAAACUGGGGCUAAUACCGGAUAGGAGCUCCUGCUGCAUGGUGGGGGUUGGAAAGUUUCGGCGGUUGGGGAUGGACUCGCGGCUUAUCAGCUUGUUGGUGGGGUAGUGGCUUACCAAGGCUUUGACGGGUAGCCGGCCUGAGAGGGUGACCGGCCACAUUGGGACUGAGAUACGGCCCAGACUCCUACGGGAGGCAGCAGUGGGGAAUAUCGCACAAUGGGCGGAAGCCUGAUGCAGCAACGCCGCGUGCGGGAUGACGGCCUUCGGGUUGUAAACCGCUUUCGCCUGUGACGAAGCGUGAGUGACGGUAAUGGGUAAAGAAGCACCGGCUAACUACGUG